AUACGGAGGGGGGUUAGCGUUGUUCGGGAAUUACUGGGCGUAAAGCGCACGUAGGCGGAUCGGAAAGUUGGGGGGUGAAAUUCCGGGGCUCAACCCCGGAACUGCCUCCAAAACUAUCGGUCUAGAGUUCGAGAGAGGUGAGUGGAAUUCCGAGUGUAGAGGUGAAAUUCGUAGAUAUUCGGAGGAACACCAGUGGCGAAGGCGGCUCACUGGCUCGAUACUGACGCUGAGGUGCGAAAGUGUGGGGAGCAAACAGGAUUAGAUACCCUGGUAGUCCACACCGUAAACGAUGAAUGCCAGUCGUCGGGUAGCAUGCUAUUCGGUGACACACCUAACGGAUUAAGCAUUCCGCCUGGGGAGUACGGUCGCAAGAUUAAAACUCAAAGAAAUUGACGGGGGCCCGCACAAGCGGUGGAGCAUGUGGUUUAAUUCGAAGCAACGCGCAGAACCUUACCAACCCUUGACUUCCUAGGACCGCUCCAGAGAUGGAUCUUUCACUUCGGUGACCUAGUGACAGGUGCUGCAUGGCUGUCGUCAGCUCGUGUCGUGAGAUGUUCGGUUAAGUCCGGCAACGAGCGCAACCCACAUCCUUAGUUGCCAGCAGUUCGGCUGGGCACUCUAGGGGAACUGCCCGUGAUAAGCGGGAGGAAGGUGUGGAUGACGUCAAGUCCUCAUGGCCCUUACGGGUUGGGCUACACACGUGCUACAAUGGCAGUGACAAUGGGCUAAUCCCAAAAAACUGUCUCAGUUCGGAUUGGGGUCUGCAACUCGACCCCAUGAAGUCGGAAUCGCUGGUAAUCGCGUAACAGCAUGACGCGGUGAAUACGUUCCCGGGCCUUGUACACAUCGCCCGUCACACCAUGGGAGUUGGUUCUACCCGACGGCCGUGCGCUAACCUUUUGGAGGCAGCGGACCACGGUAGGAUCAGCGACUGGGGUGAAGUCGUAACAAGGUAACC
rnacentral:rRNA from 1 species